UUUCGCGUGUGCGCGAUUGACAAUCUCCACUACAUUGCUGCUAUGGUAUUUUUUGAGUGCUCAAGAAUGUAAGUUCAAAAUUGGAUAUUAUCGCGCGAGGGAUAAUAUACGCCACUAGAUCCGUUCCAGUGAGGGCCAGUGAUAAUUUAAUGAAGCAAUUUCUCUUUUACACCAAUUUUUUUGGAGUCAUAUUUGUACAAAUUGCUUGAAGAUAUAAAAACAAUCUAUUACAACAUAAUAAACACGCACAAAUGAGAAAACAAAACAGAAACACACCACUGCUAGGACACACAAAGACAUUCGCCGGUUGCCCAGGCGGGAGCACCACAAAUGGUCGAAUGUUCAAAUGGCGAAGGAAAGGAUAAUAUGGAGAUUUUAGUGUUAGCGUGUCUUUUAUUGAGCUUUACAAUGAAGGAAUGUUCAAUCUCUUGUCUGAUAAGCCUCGAGACCAAUGUGGAUUAGAAAUUAGCAAAGACGUCAAAGGGAACAUACUUAUACCCAAUUUAACUGAGGCAAUUGUAGAAUCUGCCAGUCAAGUUUUAGAUAUACUGGCGAAGGGUUCCAAUGGAUGAGCAACAUCUACUACGGGCAUGAACUUGCAUCAUCGUUCGAGAAGUCACGUUAUAUUUACCAUU